UGGGGAAUAUUGGACAAUGGGCGCAAGCCUGAUCCAGUCAUGCCGCGUGAGUGACGAAGGUCUUCGGAUUGUAAAACUCUUUUGGCGGGGACGAUAAUGACGGUACCCGCAGAAUAAGCCCCGGCUAACUUCGUGCCAGCAGCCGCGGUAAUACGAAGGGGGCUAGCGUUGUUCGGAAUCACUGGGCGUAAAGCGCACGUAGGCGGAUGUGCCAGUCAGGGGUGAAAUCCCGGAGCUCAACUCCGGAACUGCCUCUGAUACUGCACGUCUUGAGUUCGAGAGAGGUGGGUGGAAUUCCUAGUGUAGAGGUGAAAUUCGUAGAUAUUAGGAAGAACACCGGUGGCGAAGGCGGCCCACUGGCUCGAUACUGACGCUGAGGUGCGAAAGCGUGGGGAGCAAACAGGAUUAGAUACCCCCGUAGUCCCUGAGCGGGCUGGCAAGGCGCAU
rnacentral:rRNA from 1 species